AGUGAACGCUGGCGGCGUGCUUAACACAUGCAAGUCGAACGAGAACGGAAUAUAGCUUGCUAUACUUGUCAGCUAAGUGGCGCACGGGUGAGUAAUGUAUAGAUAACCUGCCCUUAAGAAAGGAAUAACAGUUGGAAACGACUGCUAAUGCCCUAUAUGCCUUUAAUACAUAAGUAUGCAAGGGAAAGGCUUUAGUGCUUAAGGAUGGGUCUGUAUGGUAUCAGCUUGUUGGUGAGGUAAUGGCUCACCAAGGCUAUGACGCCUAACUGGUUUGAGAGGAUGAGCAGUCACACUGGAACUGAGACACGGUCCAGACUCCUACGGGAGGCAGCAGUGGGGAAUAUUGCACAAUGGACGAAAGUCUGAUGCAGCAACGCCGCGUGGAGGAUGACACAUUUCGGUGCGUAAACUCCUUUUAUAUAGGAAGAUAAUGACGGUACUAUAUGAAUAAGCACCGGCUAACUCCGUGCCAGCCGCCGCGGUAA
rnacentral:rRNA from 1 species